GUGCCACCUGUUCACUCUGGUUGCUUGAUGCUAAUGAUCAUGAUGGGGUUGGCGGUGAUGAUGAUAAAAAUAAAAAUAAAAGAGUUGUGCUUAUUACAUGUCAGGCCCUGUUCCAAGCAUCUCACACAUAUAAACAACUCAUUUAAUCUUCGCAAGUCUAGUAGGUGAAGUACUAUUAUGACUUCCGUUUUCCACGUGGAGGUUUAGAGGUAGGGGAGCCUGUGCCCAGUGGUGCGCUGUCUAUCAAUUAGGGAACAGUCUAGUGACACAUAAAAAUGCGUUUAGUUACAGAAGGUGGGUGUAGAGAAGGCACUGGUAGAAUGAGGAGUGGGAAAACUUACCAUCCAUUGGCCUGAAUGGGUGAGUGGAUGGAGCAGGCCGCGGGAUGCCAGAGUGUAGUGUGAAGCCAGUUGUGCUCUGCACGGCAUGUGGAGCAGUGGUCUCCCAGGGACACUGUCAGUCCACAGCAGCCUUCGGAAAGUGGCCGAGGAAGUUAGCACCCAGCCCCGUCUGCCCCUCUGGACUCCAGAAGGACCCUUUGGUGGCAGACCUUGGAAGAACCUCAGGUGUCCCAAAGCCUGUGAUGUGAGUGACACAGCUGAGCACCAAAGCAGACAGUGGGCCCCGUGCAGCACAUACCAGAGGGCUGGAAGUUUGAUUUUGGACUUGGGAAGAGGAUCAAGAAUUGGAGGGGAGAGGAAGGGAAGAAAGAACUAAGAUGUGUUACAUGCAUGUACCACAAGAGUCGUAAACAUGUACUAAAACAUGCUCUAAUAAAAGUUAACACGG
rnacentral:lncRNA from 1 species